rnacentral:pre_miRNA from 1 species
AAGGUACUCCCUCCGUCCCAAAAUUCUUGUCUUAAACUUGUCUAGAUACGAAUGUAUCUAAUACUAAAAUGUGACUUGAUACAUCCGUAUCUAGACAAAUUUAAGACAAGAAUUUUGGGACGGAGGGAGUAUUGU